UACCAGCACCCCGAGUGGUCGGGGCGAUUAUUGGGCCUAAAGCAUCCGUAGCCGGUUUUACAAGUCCCCCGUUAAAUCCAGCUGCUUAACAGAUGGGCUGCGGAGGAUACUAUAAGACUAGGAGGCAGGAGAGGCAAGCGGUACUCAGUGGGUAGGGGUAAAAUCCGUUGAUCCAUUGAAGACCACCAGUGGCGAAGGCGGCUUGCCAGAAUGCGCUCGACGGUGAGGGAUGAAAGCUGGGGGAGCAAACCGG
rnacentral:rRNA from 1 species